GAUGAACGCUGGCGGCGUGCCUAAUACAUGCAAGUCGAGCGAACAGACGAGGAGCUUGCUCCUCUGACGUUAGCGGCGGACGGGUGAGUAACACGUGGAUAACCUACCUAUAAUACUUGGAUAACUUCGGGAAACCGGAGCUAAUACCGGAUAAUAUAUUUAACCGCAUUGUUCAAUAGUUAAAGACGUUUUUUCUGUCUCUUAUAGAUGGUUCCGCGCCGCAUUAGCUAGUUGGUAAGGUAACGGCUUACCAAGGCAACGAUGCGUAGCCGACCUGAGAGGGUGAUCGGCCAAACUGGAACUGAGACACGGAACAGAAUACUACGGGAGGCAGCAGUAGGGAAGAGUACGCAAUGGGCGAAAGAAUGACGGAGAAACGCGGCGUGAGUGAUGAAGGUCUUCGGAUCGUAAAAAUCUGUUAUUAGGGAAGAAAAAAUGUGUAAGUAAAUAUGCACGUAUUGACGGUAACUAAUAAGAAAGCAACGGCUAACUACGUG
rnacentral:rRNA from 1 species